AUACUGCUGAGGAGUCCCACAAUAGGAUGAAACAGUUGUCCAGUAG
rnacentral:hammerhead_ribozyme from 1 species